ncrna:unclassified sequences Glutamine-II riboswitch (downstream peptide RNA)
GUCCGUUCAUCCUUCGGGACGCAUGAGAUCUGACCAUGGAACGGGGGUCAGGU